CUGUGCUUAGCUUAUAGUUUAAAGUGUUGGUUUGAAGGUCCAAGGAAAGAUUUGUUCUAGCUCAGG
rnacentral:tRNA from 1 species